CUCUAUUCCAUCAUUUCAUCGUCUCAUUUAGGGUUUACUUCACUCCCCCUCCUCCCUCUCUUCCUCCACAAAGCUAUGUCAUGAUCCCAUUGAAUUGAAUUGAAUUCUCCAAACCCUAAAAGAAAUCAUAACUCUUUUUAAAAUAUAAAAUAAAGACUGAAAAAAAAAACAUGUCAACAACUCUCCCUCCCAUGGAGUGUUUGUAUGUAACUGAAGAAUUUCUCCGUGAAUUGAAGGGCGGAAACCAUAGCUUCCGUCUCCCUCACCCUGUGCCUAUUCUUCGAUUUCUCUACGAGCUCUCCUGGAACUUGGUUCGAGGAGAACUGCCGUUUCAAAAGUGCAAAGCGGCUCUGGAUUCUGUGGAGUUUGUUGAUAAAGUGUCUGCUGUAGGGCUGGGUUCGAAUUUCGCUGAUAUUAUUACUCAAAUGGCUCAAGAUCUAACAAUGUCUGGAGAGUACCGUUCUCGUCUCAUAAAGUUGGCAAAAUGGCUGGUCGAAUCUGCAUUGGUCCCAUUGAGGUUUUUCCAAGAGCGUUGUGAGGAGGAAUUUCUGUGGGAAGCUGAAAUGAUAAAGAUAAAGGCUCAAGACUUGAAGGGCAAAGAGGUCAGGGUAAACACACGUCUUCUUUAUCAGCAAACAAAAUUUAACCUUCUCCGCGAAGAGAGUGAGGGCUAUGCCAAACUGGUUACUCUUCUCUAUCAAGGUUCUGAAGAUACAACUGAAAAUACAUCAGCAGCGACAAUAGGCAUCAUUAAGUCAUUGAUUGGUCAUUUUGAUUUGGACCCAAAUCGUGUUUUUGACAUUGUUUUAGAGUAUUUUGAACUUCAGCCUGAUAGCAAUGUCUUUUUGGAAUUAAUACCCAUCUUUCCUAAGUCGCAUGCAUCGCAAAUUCUUGGUUUUAAGUUUCAAUAUUAUCAGCGCAUUGAAUUAAAUAGCCAUGUCCCAUUUGGGCUCUAUAAGCUUACAGCUUUGCUGGUGAAGGAAGAGUUCAUUGAUCUUGAUAGCAUAUGUGCACAUUUACUUCCCAAGGAUGACGAGGCUUUUGAGCAUUAUAAUACGUUUUCUUCUAAACGGCUGGAUGAGGCUAACAAAAUUGGAAAAAUAAAUCUGGCUGCUACUGGAAAAGACCUCAUGGAUGAUGAGAAACAAGGAGAUGUGACCGUAGAUCUUUUUGCUGCCUUAGACAUGGAAGCUGAGGCAGUAGCCGAACGAUUCUCUGAGCUUGAAAACAAUCAAACUUUAGGCUUGCUAACUGGUUUCCUUUCUGUGGAUGACUGGUAUCAUGCCCAUAUACUUUUUGAACGUCUCUCUCCUCUCAAUCCAGUUGCACAUACUCAAAUAUGUAACGGCUUAUUUAGGCUCAUUGAAAAGUUGGUCUCAUCAGCAUAUAAUAUUGUUCGUCAAACACAUAUUCAAAGUUGUGGGUCACCAAGAAUUGCUGGUAUUGAUGCUAUGGGCGUGACAAGUUCUUCAGGCCAUGUCUCUUUCAUUGAUCUUCCCAAAGAGUUUUUUCAGAUGCUUGUCACUGUUGGACCUUAUCUUUACCGUGAUACAUUAUUGCUGCACAAGGUGUGUAGAGUGUUAAGAGGUUACUAUAUGUCUGCACUUGAGCUUGUAGAUAGUGGUGAUGGAACUCUAAAUGGUGAACUUCUUAUUCCUGGAAAUCGAGUUCCUCGUUUGCACCUAAGGGAAGCUAGGUCAAGGGUUGAGGAAGCCCUUGGAGCAUGUUUACUUCCUUCUUUACAGUUGGUACCUGCAAAUCCAGCUGUUGGGCAGGAGAUCUGGGAAGUAAUGAGUCUCCUUCCUUACGAGGUGCGAUAUCGUUUAUAUGGUGAAUGGGAAAAAGAUGAUGAGCGGAAUCCAGUGAUUUUGGCUGCUAGACAAACAGCCAAGUUGGAUACUAGAAGGAUAUUGAAAAGGCUUGCGAAGGAAAAUUUGAAGCAGCUGGGUAGGAUGGUUGCAAAAUUAGCUCAUGCUAACCCGAUGACUGUCCUUAGAACAAUUGUUCACCAGAUUGAGUCGUACAGGGAUAUGAUCUCUCCUGUUGUAGAUGCUUUCAAGUAUUUGACUCAGCUCGAGUAUGAUAUUUUGGAAUAUGUUGUUAUUGAGCGGUUAGCGCAAGGUGGCCGUGAUAAGCUGAAAGAUGAUGGCCUUAAUUUGUCAGACUGGCUUCAAUCACUGGCUUCAUUCUGGGGUCACCUGUGUAAGAAGUAUCCAUCUAUGGAAUUGAGAGGCCUUUUCCAGUAUCUAGGAAAUCAGUUGAAAAAGGGCCAGGGGAUUGAGCUUGUUCUUCUGCAGGAGCUUCUUCAACAAAUGGCAAAUGUUCAAUACACAGAGAACCUAACAGAGGAACAGUUGGAUGCAAUGGCAGGGAGUGAGACUCUUCGGUAUCAAGCUACUUCUUUUGGUGUAACCCGAACUAACAAGGCACUGUUCAAAUCUGCUAACAGGCUACGAGACUCAUUGCUUCCUAAGGAUGAACCGAAGCCAGCGAUCCCCCUUUUGUUACUUAUUGCUCAACAUCGUUCUGUGGUUGUCAUAAAUGCGGAUGCACCUUACAUUAAAAUGGUCAGUGAGCAGUUUGAUAGGUGUCAUGGAACCCUUCUUCAAUAUGUGGAAUUCCUCUGUAGUGCUGUGACGCCACCCUCAGCAUAUGCUCAGUUGAUUCCCUCUCUUGAUGAUCUUGUCCACCUGUACCACCUUGAUCCUGAGGUUGCAUUUUUAAUAUAUCGCCCAGUCAUGAGGCUUUUCAAGUGCACUGGCAGUUUAGAUGUUUUCUGGCCCUUGGAAAACAAUAAAACAGUAACUAAUACAAGUGCAAUCCUGGAGCCUGAAGCCAUAGAAUGUUCUGGCGGAGUGAUUCUGGAUCUUGGCUCUUCCCAUAAGUCUGUAACGUGGUCGGAUCUUCUUGAGACUGUGAAAACCAUGUUGCCUUCAAAAGCCUGGAAUAGUCUCUCACCUGAUCUCUAUGCAACUUUUUGGGGACUCACACUUUAUGAUCUCUAUGUUCCUAGAAACCGUUAUGAGUCUGAAAUUGCCAAGCAACAUGCUGCUCUUAAAGCUCUGGAAGAGCUUUCUGAUAAUUCUAGUUCAGCAAUUACUAAAAGGAAGAAAGAGAAGGAAAGGAUUCAAGAAUCUCUUGAUCGUUUGACUAGUGAGCUCCGUAAACAUGAAGAUAAUGUUUCAUCUGUUCGUAGACGACUCUCUUGUGAAAAGGACAAAUGGCUGACUUCCUGUCCUGAUACUUUGAAAAUCAAUAUGGAGUUCCUUCAGCGUUGUAUUUUUCCCCGUUGUACUUUCAGCAUGCCAGAUGCUGUUUAUUGUGCCAUGUUUGUACAUACUCUUCAUUCACUUGGCACUCCGUUUUUCAACACAGUAAACCAUGUUGAUGUUCUGAUAUGUAAAACAUUACAACCUAUGAUAUGCUGCUGUACUGAAUAUGAAGCAGGUAGACUUGGAAGGUUUUUGUAUGAGACAUUAAAGAUUGCUUACUACUGGAAGAGUGAUGAAUCUAUAUAUGAACAUGAGUGUGGAAAUAUGCCUGGAUUUGCUGUGUAUUAUAGAUUUCCAAACAGCCAACGGGUUACAUAUGGUCAAUUCAUCAAGGUACACUGGAAAUGGAGUCAGAGAAUGUCUCGGCUAUUGAUUCAGUGUCUGGAAUCAUCUGAGUACAUGGAAAUUCGAAACGCUCUUAUUUUGUUGACAAAAAUUUCAGGAGUUUUUCCAGUUACUAAAAGGAGUGGUAUUAACCUUGAAAAACGAGUAACUAGAAUCAAAAGUGAUGAAAGGGAGGAUCUCAAAGUUUUGGCAACAGGUGUCGCUGCAGCUUUGGCUGCUAGAAAGCCUUCGUGGAUUACAGAUGAAGAAUUUGGCAUGGGAUAUCUCGAAAUAAAGCCUCCAUCUGCUGCAUCAAAAUCUUUAUCUGGAAAUGUAGCUGCAGCACAAAAUAGUUCUGCUCUUAAUGUUUCUCAAGGUGAACCUGCUGAGGGAAGAGCACCUCUCACUGGAAGCCAACAUGGAGAUCCUGGGAAUUCAACCAGAGAGCAGAUAUCCAGGGCAAAACAUGCUGAUGGGAGGUCAGAUAGAACAGACAAUGUCUCACAUUCGAAAUUUGAUCAAGGGCAUCAAAAAUCCAAAGGUGCUUCAUCAACCAAUGGGUCAAAUGGCCAGUCAGCUGGUUCUGCAGCUGCUGUUCAUGUAGGAGCAUCAAGAUCAGAAAAUCGAAAGGGGGUGGAUGAUUCAUCAAAUAGAACAUUGGAGGAUGGCACUGUCAGAGCUGCUCCAAAGAACUUAGCGGAGUCUGAGAUGAAAAUUUCCACAAAGCGGCUGGUUUCCAAAACACCAAAGCAAGAUGUUGUAAAAGAUGAUAAUAAAUCUGGAAAAGCUGUUGGCCGAACUCCAUCCUCAUCCACAAGUGACAAAGACAUCCAGGUUCAUUUAUCAGAGGGCAGGCAAGGGGGUGCUGCUAAUGUUUCUUCUGCACUCACAUUGAAUGGUAAUGCAGUUUCAACAUCUGGAAAAAUAUCUACUCUGUCUACAAGAGCAUCUGAUUCUUAUGGUGCUGAAUCAAAGUCAGAUAGUGGACUUAACAAACCUAUGCCAAAAGCUGAAGCAACUGAAGUUGCUGAUGUGCAGAAGCCACCUCAACUUGUUCAUUCUCCUAGGCAUGAUAACUCUGUUGCUGCUUCAAAGUCCAGUGAUAAGUUGCAAAAAAGAGUGAGUCCUGCUGAAGAACCUGACAGAUCAAGUAAACGGCGAAAAGGGGAUGGUGAAUUGAGAGAUUUAGAGGGUGAAGUUAAAUUCUCUGAAAGAGAGAGGUCCACAGAUACUCGAUCUGCGGAUCUUGAUAAAGUGGGAAAUGAUGAACAGAAUAAGCAUAGGAGUACGGAUAAACCUUUGGAUAGGUCAAAAGAUAAAGGUAAUGAUAGAUAUGAUAGGGAUCAUCGGGAAAGAUCGGAGCGUCCUGAUAAAUCCCAUGGGGAUGAUAGUUUAGCUGACAGAUCGAGAGACAAAUCAAUGGAAAGAUAUGGAAGAGAGCGUUCGGAUGAGAGAGGGAUGGAUAGGGGUACUGAUAGGAGUUUCGAUAGGCUAGCUGACAAAGCCAAAGAUGACAGAAGCAAGUUACGGUACAAUGAUACAUCUGCUGAAAAAUCUCAGGGUGAUGAUCGUUUUCAUGGGCAAAACUUGCCUCCACCACCACCUUUACCUCCUCACAUGGUUCCCCAGUCAGUUACUUCUGGUAGAAGAGAUGAAGAUGCUGACCGAAGGUUUGGAACCAGACAUGCCCAGAGGCUUUCUCCUAGGCAUGACGAGAAAGAACGAAGACGAUCAGAAGAAAAUUCCUUGGUUUCACAAGAUGAUACAAAACGAAGAAAAGAAGAUGAUGUUCGUGAGAGAAAGCGAGAAGAGCGAGAGGGGUUGUCAAUUAAGGUGGAAGAGAGGGAAAGAGAAAGGGAGAGGGAGAAACCCCAUCUCUUGAAGGAGGAAAUGGACGCUGGUGCAGCUGCUAAGAGACGGAAAAUUAAAAGAGAUCAUCUGCCAACUGGGGAAGCUGGUGAAUAUUCUCCUGUUGCCCCACCACCUCCUCCCCUUGGUAGUGGCAUGUCACAAUCAUAUGAUGGUAGGGAUAGGGGAGAUCGGAAGGGGGGCACGAUUCAGCGUACAAGUUACUUGGAGGAACCUUCCAUAAGGAUUCAUGGUAAAGACGUAGCUGGCAAGAUGGCUCGUCGUGAUGCUGAUCCAAUGUAUGACCGGGAAUGGGAUGAGGACAAGAGGCAGAGAGCUGAACAAAAGCGGAGGCACCGCAAGUAGUGGAUGGGCCAUAGCUUGAGCUGUAUUUUCUGGAUGGGCCAUAGCUUGACCGGGAAUGGAUGUGCUUGAUUGUUUGGCGUGCCCAUCAAAAAACUCCAGCGCUGUCUCUGGAUUUACCUCCCAACAAAGGCAGGGCAAGCUGAACACAAGUUAACGCCAUGCGAUUCACAACAAUGAGUGUGGUAACAUUUCGCACCUCAAAUCCUUACAGCAACAAUACGCCACCUAAUGUUAGCUCUAUUUAAUACAUGAAAUGUUGUUACCUACCACGAACAAAUCAUAUUAAAUGUAAUUUACCCUUGGUACUUGGAUUAUUAUGCA